UGACCGACCAAAAUCAGCGACCGAGGUGAAAUUAACCUUAUUGAUCUGCAAAUUUCUCAAUCAUCAAAGAUAUCAUGGAUUCAAAUCAAACCCAGUACAACAAAAAAAUGUUUUCGUUAUUGAUCUAAUAGUUUUGCAAAGGUUAGUUUCGAGCAGCCAUUUCCGUCAGAUCAGAUCCAGAUUCUGUUCAUGAAAGACAGCUAUAUGUAGCUAAUAUUGAUUCCGCGCUCGUCUAUUCACAUCGAUAUAUACUUAUCUACAGAUGAGAAAGCAAGGAUUUUAACUUGGAUGCACCAUGCGACUGA